rnacentral:rRNA from 1 species
GGUGCUAACGUCCGUCGUGAAGAGGGAAACAACCCAGACCGCCAGCUAAGGUCCCAAAGUCAUGGUUAAGUGGGAAACGAUGUGGGAAGGCCCAGACAGCCAGGAUGUUGGCUUAGAAGCAGCCAUCAUUUAAAGAAAGCGUAAUAGCUCACUGGUCGAGUCGGCCUGCGCGGAAGAUGUAACGGGGCUAAACCAUGCACCGAAGCUGCGGCAGCGACACUGUGUGUUGUUGGGUAGGGGAGCGUUCUGUAAGCCUGUGAAGGUGUGUCGUGAGGCAUGCUGGAGGUAUCAGAAGUGCGAAUGCUGACAUAAGUAACGAUAAAGCGGGUGAAAAGCCCGCUCGCCGGAAGACCAAGGGUUCCUGUCCAACGUUAAUCGGGGCAGGGUGAGUCGACCCCUAAGGCGAGGCCGAAAGGCGUAGUCGAUGGGAAACGGGUUAAUAUUCCCGUACUUGGUGUUACUGCGAAGGGGGGACGGAGAAGGCUAUGUUGGCCGGGCGACGGUUGUCCCGGUUUAAGCGUGUAGGUGUGUGUUCCAGGUAAAUCCGGUUCACUUUAACACUGAGGCGUGACGACGAGGCACUACGGUGCUGAAGCAACAAAUGCCCUGCUUCCAGGAAAAGCCUCUAAGCAUCAGGUAACAUCAAAUCGUACCCCAAACCGACACAGGUGGUCAGGUAGAGAAUACCAAGGCGCUUGAGAGAACUCGGGUGAAGGAACUAGGCAAAAUGGUGCCGUAACUUCGGGAGAAGGCACGCUGACACGUAGGUGAAGUGAUUUACUCAUGGAGCUGAA